AUUGAACGCUGGCGGAAUGCUUUACACAUGCAAGUCGAACGGCAGCACGGACUUCGGUCUGGUGGCGAGUGGCGAACGGGUGAGUAAUGUAUCGGAACGUGCCCAGUCGUGGGGGAUAACGUAGUGAAAAUUACGCUAAUACCGCAUACGAUCUAUGGAUGAAAGCGGGGGAUCGCAAGACCUCGCGCGAUUGUAGCGGCCGAUAUCAGAUUAGGUAGUUGGUGGGGUAAAGGCCCACCAAGCCAACGAUCUGUAGCUGGUCUGAGAGGACGACCAGCCACACUGGAACUGAGACACGGUCCAGACUCCUACGGGAGGCAGCAGUGGGGAAUUUUGGACAAUGGGCGAAAGCCUGAUCCAGCCAUUCCGCGUGCAGGAUGAAGGCCCUCGGGUUGUAAACUGCUUUUGUACAGAACGAAAAGGUUUCUACUAAUACUAGGAGCUCAUGACGGUACUGUAAGAAUAAGCACCGGCUAACUACGUGCCAGCAGCCGCUGAA
rnacentral:rRNA from 1 species